AGCGUACACGGUGGAUGCCCUGGCAGUCAGAGGCGAUGAAGGACGUGCUAAUCUGCGAUAAGCGUCGGUGAGGUGAUAUGAACCGUUAUAACCGGCGAUUUCCGAAUGGGGAAACCCAGUGUGUUUCGACACACUAUCAUUAACUGAAUCCAUAGGUUAAUGAGGCGAACCGGGGGAACUGAAACAUCUAAGUACCCCGAGGAAAAGAAAUCAACCGAGAUUCCCCCAGUAGCGGCGAGCGAACGGGGAGGAGCCCAGAGCCUGAAUCAGUGUGUGUGUUAGUGGAAGCGUCUGGAAAGGCGCGCGAUACAGGGUGACAGCCCCGUACACAAAAAUGCACACAUUGUGAGCUCGAUGAGUAGGGCGGGACACGUGGUAUCCUGUCUGAAUAUGGGGGGACCAUCCUCCAAGGCUAAAUACUCCUGACUGACCGAUAGUGAACCAGUACCGUGAGGGAAAGGCGAAAAGAACCCCGGCGAGGGGAGUGAAAAAGAACCUGAAACCGUGUACGUACAAGCAGUGGGAGCCUCUUAAUGGGGUGACUGCGUACCUUUUGUAUAAUGGGUCAGCGACUUAUAUUCUGUAGCAAGGUUAACCGAAUAGGGGAGCCGAAGGGAAACCGAGUCUUAACUGGGCGUUAAGUUGCAGGGUAUAGACCCGAAACCCGGUGAUCUAGCCAUGGGCAGGUUGAAGGUUGGGUAACACUAACUGGAGGACCGAACCGACUAAUGUUGAAAAAUUAGCGGAUGACUUGUGGCUGGGGGUGAAAGGCCAAUCAAACCGGGAGAUAGCUGGUUCUCCCCGAAAGCUAUUUAGGUAGCGCCUCGUGAAUUCAUCUCCGGGGGUAGAGCACUGUUUCGGCAAGGGGGUCAUCCCGACUUACCAACCCGAUGCAAACUGCGAAUACCGGAGAAUGUUAUCACGGGAGACACACGGCGGGUGCUAACGUCCGUCGUGAAGAGGGAAACAACCCAGACCGCCAGCUAAGGUCCCAAAGUCAUGGUUAAGUGGGAAACGAUGUGGGAAGGCCCAGACAGCCAGGAUGUUGGCUUAGAAGCAGCCAUCAUUUAAAGAAAGCGUAAUAGCUCACUGGUCGAGUCGGCCUGCGCGGAAGAUGUAACGGGGCUAAACCAUGCACCGAAGCUGCGGCAGCGACACUAUGUGUUGUUGGGUAGGGGAGCGUUCUGUAAGCCUGUGAAGGUGGCCUGUGAGGGUUGCUGGAGGUAUCAGAAGUGCGAAUGCUGACAUAAGUAACGAUAAAGCGGGUGAAAAGCCCGCUCGCCGGAAGACCAAGGGUUCCUGUCCAACGUUAAUCGGGGCAGGGUGAGUCGACCCCUAAGGCGAGGCCGAAAGGCGUAGUCGAUGGGAAACAGGUUAAUAUUCCUGUACUUGGUGUUACUGCGAAGGGGGGACGGAGAAGGCUAUGUUGGCCGGGCGACGGUUGUCCCGGUUUAAGCGUGUAGGCUGGUUUUCCAGGCAAAUCCGGAAAACCAAGGCUGAGGCGUGAUGACGAGGCACUACGGUGCUGAAGCGACAAAUGCCCUGCUUCCAGGAAAAGCCUCUAAGCAUCAGGUAACAUCAAAUCGUACCCCAAACCGACACAGGUGGUCAGGUAGAGAAUACCAAGGCGCUUGAGAGAACUCGGGUGAAGGAACUAGGCAAAAUGGUGCCGUAACUUCGGGAGAAGGCACGCUGAUAUGUAGGUGAAGCGACUUGCUCGUGGAGCUGAAAUCAGUCGAAGAUACCAGCUGGCUGCAACUGUUUAUUAAAAACACAGCACUGUGCAAACACGAAAGUGGACGUAUACGGUGUGACGCCUGCCCGGUGCCGGAAGGUUAAUUGAUGGGGUUAGCGGUAACGCGAAGCUCUUGAUCGAAGCCCCGGUAAACGGCGGCCGUAACUAUAACGGUCCUAAGGUAGCGAAAUUCCUUGUCGGGUAAGUUCCGACCUGCACGAAUGGCGUAAUGAUGGCCAGGCUGUCUCCACCCGAGACUCAGUGAAAUUGAACUCGCUGUGAAGAUGCAGUGU
rnacentral:rRNA from 1 species